AUUGAACGCUGGCGGCAGGCUUAACACAUGCAAGUCGAGCGAGAGGAGGACGGGUGAGUAAGGGCUGGGAAACUGCCUGAUGGAGGGGGCUAAGUACGGGAAACGGUGGCUAAAACCGCAAACGAUCAGAUGGGCCGAGAGGGGAUUAGCGAGUCGGUGGGGUAAUGGCUCACCUAGGCGAAGAUCCCUAGCUGGUCUGAGAGGAUGACCAGCCACACUGGAACUGAGACACGGUCCAGACUCCUACGGGAGGCAGCAGUGGGGAAUAUUGGACAAUGGGCGAAAGCCUGAUCCAGCCAUGCCGCGUGUGUGAAGAAGGCCUUCGGGUUGUAAAGCACUUUCAUCGAGGAGGCGUUACUCGCAGAAGAAGCACCGGCUAACUCCGUGCCAGCAGCCGCGGUAAUUC
rnacentral:rRNA from 1 species